UAUAAAAUUAAAAUAUAAAAAUUUAUAAUUAAAUACUAAUGAAUAAAAGACAUUUGUAUAAAAAUAUUUUCUAAAUUAUUCCUAUAUGUGAGUAUUUUAAAAAAAAUUUCAACACAAUAAUAAGCAUAUAUAUUUGAUAGAUAAAAAAAAAUUUAUAUAUAAAUAUUUAUGUUUAAGUUAAAAAUUUCAAGAACAUAAACAAUAAUUUAUCAUGCUGCUUUUUCGAAAUGAUAAGAUAUAAACUAAUAAGUAUUCGUAAGAAAAUUACACCCUUAAUGAAUGAUAAAUAAUAAACAAUUAAAUUUAUUUUUAAUAAUGACAUAGUCAUAUAUUGUUUUUAGAUAUCAAAAUAUCUCAACUUAUGUAUCUUAAUUAUGUAAUUAUGUAUAAUAGUUUUAUUUCAUUAAAGCUAUUAGUUUAUGUUAAUUAAAAAAAAUUCUUCUUUAGUUUAUUAAAAUAUCCUUUUUAUGAAAUCAAUAUAUAUAAUAUGACCACGUUUUAUAUUUUAUAAAUAUUUCUUUUUAUAUGUCUGAUUUGAAAACCAAUAUAAAAAAGGAAAAAAAAAUCAAAAUAACAAAUAUUAUCAAAAAGGAAAAAAAUGUUAAUAAUGACAUUUAUAUAAUUCAUUAAAAAUAUUGUUGUAAUCAACUUUUCUUUCAAUUGACGUGAAAUAAUAUGAAACUGAUUUCUCAAAUAAUGUUACAGAGAUUGGAAUGAAUUUUCUUUUACUUGAUGAAAAAAAAUAUAUAUAUAUAUAUAUAUAAUUUUUUAUUAUUAAAAUUAAUUUACUGUAAACUACAAUUCAAAGUUGUGUGCAUCUUGAAAAAAUUUGAGACGGAUUACAUGCUGGCCUAAUUACAUGAGAGAAAUUUUAUUGAAUAUAUAAUUUAACGUGCCGCGAGAUUGCAGUAAUAACUACAAAGUCCGCGAAAACAACAACUGCAUGUGCGAGACAGCAAUUUCCUCAAAAUACCCAGUGAAAUUUUUUGACUUCAAAUUAUGAAAAUUACUCAGUUGAAAGAUACAACAAAAAUUUGUAUGAUAAUUUUCAGAUUCUUUAUAUAAUUAUAUAACAUUACUUCUUACAUAUAUAAUUGGAUACUAGGUAAUUUUUAUGUGCUCAUACGCGGAUAUAAAUUGUACCAAAAUAAAUAUAUUAUAACUUAUAAGAAUAGAUUAAUAUUUUCUUAUAAAUUUUAAAUCAUUUUGUAUAUGUAUGCUUGUUAUAAAUAAUAUGAUUUUUUAAGUUAAAAUAAUAUUAUGCUAUUUUAGUAAGAUAUGUUGGUUUGAACAUAUAAUGUAUAUGUUUUCUUUGUUAUAAAUCAUUUUGUAUAUGUAUGCUUUGUUAUAAAAAAUAUGAUGUUUUCAGUUAAAAUAAUAUUAUGCUAUUUCAGUAAGAUAUGUGGUUUUGAAUAUAUAAUGUCUAGUUAGUUUGAUUAUUAUUUAUAUAUAUUGGAUUGCAUAUACUUCUUUAAAUUCAACUAUAAUUUUUGGUUCUUAAUAAAUUAAAAUUUUGAUUAAUUAUGUUAUUUCUAUUUAGUUUAGUUAUUGUCUUAGAUUUGUAAAUAUAUUUUAAUAAAUUUAUGUAUAAUUUAAUAUAUAUUGUUUUGAGAAUCAAAAGAAAAAUUAAAAUAAUGUGUUAAUUAUGUUCAAAGAUAUAUAAAUGAAUAUAAGGAUAAUUUUUUGAAAACUCAUUCAUAUAUAAAGUUUUCAAAAGAAGUAAAACGUAACAAUUGAUGGAAGUUUUAUUUUCAUUUAUAAAUAUGCUUUGAAUCAUUUCGAGGUUUUAUGUAUACAAAGAAAUAAAAUAUUAAAAUAAAUAAUAUGUUGUUAUUUUAAUUAGAUCGUUAGUUUUUGGUGAAGAAUUUGGAUUGGUCUAGUUAUUAAUUUUAUAUGUAUUUAUAUAUAUAUAUAUAUAUAUAUAUAUAUAUAUAUUUUCCUUAAAAUUAAUAAAAAGGAAAAUAUUUAAAAUAAAAAUUAUAAUAAUUAACUCAACUCAUGAAGGUAAAAUUACUGUGAUAAUUAAUGUACGUGCGACACAUAAAAAACUGAUUUCUCAAAUAAUAUUAUAGAAAGAUCGAAAAUAUGAAAAUACAGUAUAACCUCUUUAAAUUAAUACUUUAUAAAUUAAUUAACAUUAAAAAUCUCUAUAAAAUAAUAUAAUUUUAUAGUCCCAAAUUGGGUUUUUGGUUCAAUUAGUAUAUCGAUAAAUUAAUAUCUCUAUAAAUUAAAAAAAAAAUUAUAGUUUUGGUGUAGUCCCAACAUUAUUAAUUUAUAGAGGUUUCACUAUAUCUCUACACACGUCCUAUAUUUCUCUAAUUUUAUUGUUGGGAAGGUAAAAUUUUCCAUUCAUAAGUAUUUUAUUCUUUUAUCCCCUAUAUAUUAAUCGAAGAUUAUUUAAAAAGUUGUAAUCUUAAGUUUGUACUAAUUAAAAAGAGAUCUUGCGUAGUUGUCACUUAAUUAGGAUGACAAUUUAGUUUACGUGGCAGCUUAAAAAUUAAUUUAGCUUAAGAAUCAAUUGGAAAAUGUUGGUCCAAAUCAAAUUAAUAGGGAACAUUAUAUUAACUCAAAAUAUAAAAAGUGUGUAUUAUUUCCUUAAAUAAAAGCUACGACAUUAUCUAAUAUGAUUAACAUAUAUAUGACAAUUAAUGACUAUGAAUAAUAAAGAUUUGAUAACAAUUUUUGCAUCAUUCUUCAUUUAUGUUAAUUUUAUAUUAUUAAAAAAAAUUAAAAAAUCACAUUAACCAUAUUAUAAAAAAAUUAUUUUUUUCUUAUAUGUUUUAUUUUGAUUUUUUUAAAAGGACUUUAAAUUACAAAAAUGAGGAAAGUUUAUAUAUUAUAUUUUAGUUUUUUUAAACAACUUUAAAUUACAAAAAUGAGGAAAUCUUAUAUGUUAUAUUUUUCUUAUAUGUUAGAUUUUUUCUUAUAUGUUAUAUUUUGAUUUUUUUAAAACGACUUUAAAUUACACAAAUGUAUGUUUUUCUUAAGUAAAGGACUAAAAAAAUUAAAAUGACAUAUAUCAAUUCGAUGGUUGAUCUGAAACCUUUCAAAACCAUACAUAAUAUAAAUGUCAAAAUAAUUUAACUCUAGAAAUAGUACUGUUUACUUUUUUUAAGAAUGUGUUAUGUGUAAAAAUAAGAUUUUUGUAUGAUAAUUUUUUUAGUGUCCAAUCCGAUCAGAAUAAACCUUUCGAAAGUCAUCUGUCUCCACAACAUAAAUAGCCAAAGAGCCAUUCAUAAUGUUUCCUCACAACACAAAUUUUAGUACUUCACCUCUUCCUUCCUUUUGUAGACAUGUGAAUGGAGCCAGUGGCUGUUGUGAGGGACCCGCCGCCGAAGAAUUUUCCAGACAAUACAAUGUCGAAGUCUGCCUCGUUCACGACAACCUCGGCCACUCUUUCUGCUAUGUCCGGCCACUUCACAACGGAACAGCAGUUUCUUUCCGUUCAAUCUCGGGCGCUUCAGUUAGCGCCAAUACUUCAACGGCUCUCACUGCCUCUCCCUCAACAGACGCGUCGUUAUUGGCCUCCGGUUUCGAGAGCACCAAUAGAUUCGCUUCCCUGCGGCUCCAGCCCCUCCCUCGUAGUCCGACUAUGAAACCUGGCCAUGUGUCGGGUCUGUUUUUACCUGGUCCGAUCGAAAGCGGGUUGGUUUCAGGUCCGGUCGGGAAAAAGAAAAAAAGAUAAAGCAAAGAAGAGGCGUACGUUUUCAAAACUCAAGUCGAAUAAGGGAUUUCACGCAGUCAAAACCAUUUUCACCAAUAUGUUUUCUAACAACCUAUCUCGAUCAAAGAGGAAGGGGAUCGAGCCAAUGGAUGGUUCGGAUUCAGACAAAAUCGAGUCUGCUUCGGAGGAGGAGCCAAAGAUUCAAUGGGCGCAGGGGAAAGCAGGGGAAGACCGAGUGCACACCAUCCUCUCGGAGGAAAACGGUUGGAAUUUACGAUGGAUUCAGCGGUCCAGAUCCGCCGGACUAUCUUCUCAACAAUCUCUACACCGCCGUGCUCAAAGAGCUCAAAGGCUUGCUAUGGAACGAUAAGCUCGAGUCCGAUGAUCUUGGAUCAUAUAGCGAAAUUAAUGAAGAGUUUCAGAGUACAUUCGAGCAUGAUUUUUAUUCGGGAAAAGGAAACUGCAAUAUGAUGAAAGGAGACGCUGUUGCUUGUGACCCAAGAAACAGAGCUGAGAAUGUGAACAAGUUGCCAUGGAGGUGCGAGUGGGAGCAUAACUCAAGAAGCAACAAUAUGAAUCAUAAUAAUUACAUGGAGAUGAUUAACCACAAAGACGUCCUAAGGGCUCUUAAACAAGCGUUGAAGAAAACAGAGGAAGCGUUUGAUCUAACGGUGGAUGAGAAUCCAGAACUAGCCUUGAUGGGAUCGUGCGUUCUUGUGACGUUGAUGAAAGGAGAAGAUGUUUACGUGAUGAGCGUUGGAGAUAGCCGAGCGGUUUUGGCUUAAAGACCUGAUCUCGGUAGGACGAAGUUGCAAAAGGAGCUUGAUAUAAUCAUAGAAGAGAGUCCAUUGGAGUCCAGAGAAUAUGGAGCACAGCACAGACGUUGAAGACGAGGUGAGAAGAAUCAACAAGGAACAUCCCGAUGAUCCAUUUGCGAUAAAGAAUGAUAGAGUGAAAGGUUAUCUCAAGGUCACUCGUGCAUUUGGCGCUGGAUUUCUUAAACAAGUUCGAAUCGGUUCGGAUUCAUUUUUAUCAGAUCGGAUUCGAUUCAGAUUUUCAGGUUCGGUUUAUUUACCCAGCCCUACUUUAAAUUAUCUAUGAUGAUAUAUGCCAUAAUGAAUUUUUAAUUAAUAUUGAAAUAUAAACAUAUAACUUAUAGUUUUUGUAAUUGUAGUAUUUUAAUAAUUUACUGUUAUUAUUAUUAUAAAUUAACCAGUUACAACAAAAACAUGAAAAUUCUUAAUCUUGUUCUGACUAAAGUUAUAAAUUCUAUUAUUUUCAUUAAAUUAAUCAGUUUAUCAGUUUACGUGUAUGUUAUAUGAUAUGAAAAUGACUUUAUAUAUUUCAUUUAUUAAAAUAUAUCUAUAUUAAUUCAAAUUAUUAAAAAAUUAAUAUGAAGCUUGAUAUUGAUAUGUGUAUGAUGAUGUGUUACUAUUAAAUUCUUAGAUCAUUUCCACUUUUAUUUUAUGUGAGAAAAUAAAUUUGACUAGAUUUUAUUUUAAGGAGUACAUUUAAUUAUAAGUUAUUUACUCACUUGACUUUAACAUUGAAAAUUUAUUUUCCUUAUAUAUAUGGAAAAUUAAAGUCUGAGGAAGAAUAUAUUAAUUUAAAAACAUAUAUAUGGAUAAGCAUAAUUGUUUAAAUUUACAUAAUUAUCCAGAAGUUUUUUACAAAAAAAAAAAUCAUUAGAUUUAUGUGGCCGCCAUCAAUACUCAUCUUCCUCAUUCUAUCGAUCGUUUCGAUCAACCACCUUCCUCUCGCACGUGCCAGAGGUCAGUGGUGUGUGGUAUCUCCAUCGGCGACAGAUGCACAAAUGCAAGCUAAUAUUGAUUGGCUGUGUGGUCAUGGACAUGUUGACUGUAUACCAAUUAAACUGGGUGGUCCCUGCUUUGAGCCAGAUAAUCUUAGAAUCCAUGUAUCGUUUGUAAUGAAUCAGUUUUACCAAUAUAACGAAAAAAUCGAAAAAGCAUGUUAUUUCACUAAUACCGGUAUAUUCGUUUUUAAAGAUCCAAGCUAUGGUGAUUGUGAGUACGAUUAUUCAGAAAAAUAUACUAAUAAUCUUGAUUGAUAAUUCGUGGAAUGCAUUGUAGAAUGAAUGAUUUCACGAAAUGUUUUUUAAUAUAAAUUAUAUACAUCAUGCGAAAUAUUAUGUAAGGUUAAUAAAAAUUAAAGUAUUUCGUCAUUCAGAAUUUCAGAUUUAGUCAAUAUAUUUAACUUAAUGACAUCACCACUACGUUCAAUAUUUUUUGGGAAAUUUGCAAAAAUAUAACAAAAAAUAAAACACAUUCUUUGUCCCCUUGAUUUAAAACAAUCUAAAUUAGUUGUUUUAGUAUAAUAUUUGCCAAAAACCUCAAUCUAACCCUUUAACUUGAAAUUUUUUUUAGUAGGAUAAAUCUUCUCGAAAUGGAUUAUUCAAAUGGGCAUCAUGUAAAAUUAACCAGUUACAACAAAAACAUGAAAAUUCUUAAUCUCGUUCUGACUAAAGUUAUAAAUUCUAUUAUUUGCAUUAAAUUAAUCAGUUUAUCAGUUUAUGUGUAUGAUAUAUGAUAUGUAAAUGACAUUAUAAAUUUCAUUUAUUAAAAUAUAUCUAUAUUAAUUCAAAUUAUUAAAAAAUUAAAGCUUGAUAUGAUAUGUGUAUGAUGAUGUAUUACUAUUAAAUUCUUAGAUCAUUUCCACUUUUAUAUGAGAAAAUAAAUUUGACUAAUUUUAUUUUAAGGAGUACAUUUAAUUACAAAUUAUUGACUCACUUGACUUUGACAUUGAAAAUAUAUUUUCCUUAUAUAUAUGGAAAAUUAAAGUCUGAGGAAGAAUAUAUUAAUUUUAAAAACAUGUAUAAGGAUAGACACAAUUGUUUAAAUUUAAAUAAACAUCAAGAAGCUUUUUUCAAAAAAAAAUUAUCAUUAGAAUUAUGUCACCGCCAUUAAUACUCAUCUUCCUCAUUCUAUCGAUCGUUUCGAUCAACCACCUUCCUCUCGCACGUGCAAGAGGUCAGUGGUGUGUGGUAUCUCCAUCGGCGACAGAUGCACAAAUGCAAGCUAAUAUUGAUUGGUUGUGUGGUCAUGGACAUGUUGACUGUAUACCAAUCAAACCGGGUGGUCUUUGAGCCAGAUAAUCUUAGAAGCCAUGUAUCGUUUGUAAUGAAUCAGUAUUACCAAUAUAACGGAAAAACCGAAAAAGCAUGUUAUUUCAGUAGUACUGGUAUAUUCGUUUUUAAAGAUCCAAGCUAUGGUGAUUGUGAGUACGAUUAUUAAGAAAAUAUAUACUAAUAAUCUUGAUUGAUAAUUUGUGGAAUGCAUUGUAGAAUGAAUGAUUUCACAAAAUGUUUUUUUAAUAUAAAUUAUAUACAUCAUGCAAAAUAUUAUGUAAGGUUAAUAAAAAUUAAAGUAUUUCGUCAUUCAGAAUUUCAGAUUUAGUCAAUAUACUUAACUUAAUGACAUCACCACUACGUUCAAUAUUUUUUGGGAAAUUUGCAAAAACAAAAUCACAUUCUUUGUCCCCAUGAUUUAAACCAACCUAAAUUAGUUAUUUUAGUAUAAUAUUUGCCAAAAACCUCAAUCUAACUCUUUAACUUGAAAACUUUUUUAGUAGGAUAAAUCUUCUCGAAAUGCAUUAUUCAAUUGGACAUCAUGUAAAAUUAACCAGUUACAACAAAAACAUAAAAAUUCUUAAUCUCGUUCUGACUAAAGUUAUAAAUUCUAUUAUUUGCAUUAAAUUAAUCAGUUUAUCAGUUUAUGUGUAUGAUAUAUGAUAUGUAAAUGACAUUAUAAAUUUCAUUUAUUAAAAUAUAUCUAUAUUAAUUCAAAUUAUUAAAAAAUUAAAGCUUGAUAUGAUAUGUGUAUGAUGAUGUAUUACUAUUAAAUUCUUAGAUCAUUUCCACUUUUAUGUGAGAAAAUAAAUUUGACUAAUUUUAUUUUAAGGAGUACAUUUAAUUACAAAUUAUUGACUCACUUGACUUUGACAUUGAAAAUAUAUUUUCCUUAUAUAUAAGGAAAAUUAAAGUCUGAGGAAGAAUAUAUUAAUUUUAAAAACAUGUAUAAGGAUAGACACAAUUUUUUAAAUUUAAAUAAACAUCAAGAAGCUUUUUUCAAAAAAAAAUUAUCAUUAGAAUUAUGUCGCCGCCAUUAAUACUCAUCUUCCUCAUUCUAUCGAUCGUUUCGAUCAACCACCUUCCUCUCACACGUGCAAGAGGUCAGUGGUGUGUGGUAUCUCCAUCGGCGUCAGAUGCACAAAUGCAAGCUAAUAUUGAUUGGUUGUGUGGUCAUGGACAUGUUGACUGUAUACCAAUCAAACCGGGUGGUUCCUGCUUUGAGCCAGAUAAUCUUAGAAGCCAUGUAUCGUUUGUAAUGAAUCAGUAUUACCAAUAUAACGGAAAAACCGAAAAAGCAUGUUAUUUCAGUAAUACUGGUAUAUUCGUUUUUAAAGAUCCAAGCUAUGGUGAUUGUGAGUACGAUUAUUAAGAAAAUAUAUACUAAUAAUCUUGAUUGAUAAUUCGUGGAAUGCAUUGUAGAAUGAAUGAUUUCACAAAAUGUUUUUUUUAUAUAAAUUAUAUACAUCAUGCAAAAUAUUAUGUAAGGUUAAUAAAAAUUAAAGUAUUUCGUCAUUCAGAAUUUCAGAUUUAGUCAAUAUACUUAACUUAAUGACAUCACCACUACGUUCAAUAUUUUUUGGGAAAUUUGCAAAAACAAAAUCACAUUCUUUGUCCCCAUGAUUUAAACCAACCUAAAUUAGUUAUUUUAGUAUAAUAUUUGCCAAAAACCUCAAUCUAACUCUUUAACUUGAAAACUUUUUUAGUAGGAUAAAUCUUCUCGAAAUGCAUUAUUCAAUUGGACAUCAUGUAAAAUUAACCAGUUACAACAAAAACAUAAAAAUUCUUAAUCUCGUUCUGACUAAAGUUAUAAAUUCUAUUAUUUGCAUUAAAUUAAUCAGUUUAUCAGUUUAUGUGUAUGAUAUAUGAUAUGAAAAUGACUUUAUAUAUUUUAUUUAUUAAAAUAUAUCUAUAUUAAUUCAAAUUAUUAAAAAAUUAAAGCUUGAUAUGAUAUGUGUAUGAUGAUGUAUUACUAUUAAAUUCUUAGAUCAUUUCCACUUUUAUGUGAGAAAAUCAAUUUGACUAAUUUUAUUUUAAGGAGUACAUUUAGUUACAAAUUAUUGACUCACUUGACUUUGACAUUGAAAAUAUAUUUUCCUUAUAUAUAUGGAAAAUUAAAGUCUGAGGAAGAAUAUUUUAAUUUUAAAAACAUGUAUAAGGAUAGACACAAUUGUUUAAAUUUAAGCAAACAUCAAGAAGCUUUUUUCAAAAAAAAAUUAUCAUUAAAAUUAUGUCGCCGCCAUUAAUACUCAUCUUCCUCAUUCUAUCGAUCGUUUCGAUCAACCACCUUCCUCUCGCACGUGCAAGAGGUCAGUGGUGUGUGGUAUCUCCAUCGGUGACAGAUGCACAAAUGCAAGUUAAUAUUGAUUGGUUGUGUGGUCAUGGACAUGUUGACUGUAUACCAAUCAAACCGGGUGGUCCCUGCUUUGAGCCAGAUAAUCUUAGAAGCCAUGUAUCGUUUGUAAUGAAUCAGUAUUACCAAUAUAACGGAAAAACCGAAAAAGCAUGUUAUUUCAGUAAUACUGGUAUAUUCGUUUUUAAAGAUCCAAGCUAUGGUGAUUGUGAGUAUGAUUAUUAAGAAAAAAUAUACUAAUAAUUUUGAUUGAUAAUUCAUGGAAUGCAUUGUAGAAUGAAUGAUUUCACAAAAUGUUUUUUUAAUAUAAAUUAUAUACAUCAUGCAAAAUAUUAUGUAAGGUUAAUAAAAAUUAAAGUAUUUCGUCAUUCAGAAUUUCAGAUUUAGUCAAUAUACUUAACUUAAUGACAUCACCACUACGUUCAAUAUUUUUUGGGAAAUUUGCAAAAACAAAAUCACAUUCUUUGUCCCCAUGAUUUAAACCAACCUAAAUUAGUUAUUUUAGUAUAAUAUUUGCCAAAAACCUCAAUCUAACUCUUUAACUUGAAAACUUUUUUAGUAGGAUAAAUCUUCUCGAAAUGCAUUAUUCAAUUGGACAUCAUGUAAAAUUAACCAGUUACAACAAAAACAUAAAAAUUCUUAAUCUCGUUCUGACUAAAGUUAUAAAUUCUAUUAUUUGCAUUAAAUUAAUCAGUUUAUCAGUUUAUGUGUAUGAUAUAUGAUAUGAAAAUGACUUUAUAUAUUUUAUUUAUUAAAAUAUAUCUAUAUUAAUUCAAAUUAUUAAAAAAUUAAAGCUUGAUAUGAUAUGUGUAUGAUGAUGUAUUACUAUUAAAUUCUUAGAUCAUUUCCACUUUUAUGUGAGAAAAUCAAUUUGACUAAUUUUAUUUUAAGGAGUACAUUUAGUUACAAAUUAUUGACUCACUUGACUUUGACAUUGAAAAUAUAUUUUCCUUAUAUAUAUGGAAAAUUAAAGUCUGAGGAAGAAUAUUUUAAUUUUAAAAACAUGUAUAAGGAUAGACACAAUUGUUUAAAUUUAAGCAAACAUCAAGAAGCUUUUUUCAAAAAAAUAUUAUCAUUAGAAUUAUGUCGCCGCCAUUAAUACUCAUCCUCCUCAUUCUAUCGAUCGUUUCGAUCUACCACCUUCCUCUCGCACGUGCAAGAGGUCAGUGGUGUGUGGUAUCUCCAUCGGCGACAGAUGCACAAAUGCAAGUUAAUAUUGAUUGGUUGUGUGGUCAUGGACAUGUUGACUGUAUACCAAUCAAACCGGGUGGUCCCUGCUUUGAGCCAGAUAAUCUUAGAAGCCAUGUAUCGUUUGUAAUGAAUCAGUAUUACCAAUAUAACGGAAAAACCGAAAAAUCAUGUUAUUUCAGUAAUACUGGUAUAUUCGUUUUUAAAGAUCCAAGCUAUGGUGAUUGUGAGUACGAUUAUUAAGAAAAAAUAUACUAAUAAUCUUGAUUGAUAAUUCGUGGAAUGCAUUGUAGAAUGAAUGAUUUCACAAAAUGUUUUUUUAAUAUAAAUUAUAUACAUCAUGAAAAAUAUUAUGUAAGGUUAAUAAAAAUUAAAGUAUUUCGUCAUUCAGAAUUUCAGAUUUAGUCAAUAUACUUAACUUAAUGACAUCACCACUACGUUCAAUAUUUUUUGGGAAAUUUGCAAAAACAAAAUCACAUUCUUUGUCCCCAUGAUUUAAACCAACCUAAAUUAGUUAUUUUAGUAUAAUAUUUGCCAAAAACCUCAAUCUAACUCUUUAACUUGAAAACCUUUUUAGUAGGAUAAAUCUUCUCGAAAUGCGUUAUUCAAUUGGACAUCAUGUAAAAUUAACCAGUUACAACAAAACAUAAAAAUUCUUAAUCUCGUUCUGACUAAAGUUAUAAAUUCUAUUAUUUGCAUUAUAUUAAUCAGUUUAUCAGUUUAUGUGUAUGAUAUAUGAUAUGAAAAUGACUUUAUAUAUUUCAUUUAUUAAAAUAUAUCUAUAUUAAUUCAAAUUAUUAAAAAAUUAAUAUGAAGCUUGAUAUGAUAUGUGUAUGAUGAUGUAUUACUAUUAAAUUCUUAGAUCAUUUCCACUUUUAUGUGAGAAAAUCAAUUUGACUAAUUUUAUUUUAAGGAGUACAUUUAGUUACAAAUUAUUGACUCACUUGACUUUGACAUUGAAAAUAUAUUUUCCUUAUAUAUAUGGAAAAUUAAAGUCUGAGGAAGAAUAUAUUAAUUUUAAAAACAUAUAUAAGGAGGAUAGGCACAAUUGUUUAAAUUUACAUAAACAUCAAGAUUUUUUUUUUAAGAAACAAAAUAUCAUUAGAAUUAUGUGGCCGCCGUCAAUACUCAUAUUCCUCAUUCUAUCGAUCGUUUCGAUCAACCACCUUCCUCUCGCACGUGCCAGAGGUCAGUGGUGUGUGGUAUCUCCAUCGGCGACAGAUGCACAAAUGCAAGCUAAUAUUGAUUGGCUGUGUGGUCAUGGACAUGUUGACUGUAUACCAAUCAAACCGGGUGGUCCCUGCUUUGAGCCAGAUAAUCUUAGAAAUCAUGUAUCGUUUGUAAUGAAUCAGUAUUACCAAUAUAACGGAAAAACCGAAAAAGCAUGUUAUUUCAGUAAUACCGGUAUAUUCGUUUUUAAAGAUCCAAGCUAUGGUCAUUGUGAGUACGAUUACUAAGAAAAAUAUACUAAUAAUAUUGAUUGAUAAUUCGUGGAAUGCAUUGUAGAAUGAAUGAUUUCACGAAAUGUUUUUUAAUAUAAAUUAUUUACAUCAUGCGAAAUAUUAUGUAAGGUUAAUAAAAAUUAAAGUAUUUCGUCAUUCAGAAUUUCAGAUUCAAUAUAUUUAACUUAAUGACAUCAACACUACGUUCAAUAUUUUUUGGGAAAUUUGCAAAAAUAUAACAAAAAAUAAAACACAUUCUUUGUCCCCUUGAUUUAAAACAAUCUAAAUUAGUUAUUUUAGUAUAAUAUUUGCCAAAAACCUCAAUCUAACCCUUUAACUUGAAAUUUUUUUUAGUAGGAUAAAUCUUCUCGAAAUGGAUUAUUCAAAUGGGCAUCAUGUAAAAUUAACCAGUUACAACAAAAACAUGAAAAUUCUUAAUAUCGUUCUGACUAAAGUUAUAAAUUCUAUUAUUUGCAUUAAAUUAAUCAGUUUAUCAGUUUAUGUGUAUGAUAUAUGAUAUGAAAAUGACUUUAUAUAUUUCAUUUAUUAAAAUAUAUCUAUAUUAGUUCAAAUUAUUAAAAAAUUGAAGCUUGAUAUGUGUAUGAUGAUGUAUUACUAUUAAAUUCUUAGAUCAUUUCCACUUUUAUGUGAGAAAAUCAAUUUGACUAAUUUUAUUUUAAGGAGUACAUUUAAUUACAAAUUAUUGACUCACUUGAUUUUGACAUUGAAAAUAUAUUUUCCUUAUAUAUAUGGAAAAUUAAAGUCUGAGGAAGAAUAUAUUCAAUUGGACAUCAUGUAAUAUUAACCAGUUACAACAAAAACAUGAAAAUUCUUAAUCUCGUUUUGACUAAAGUUAUAAAUUCUAUUAUUUGUAUUAAAUUAAUCAGUUUAUCAGUAAAUGAUAUGAAAAUGACUUUAUAUAUUUCAUUUAUUAAAAUAUAUCUAUAUUAAUUCAAAUUAUUAAAAAAUUAAAGCUUGAUAUGUGUAUGAUGAUGUAUUACUAUUAAAUUCUUAGAUCAUUUCCACUUUUAUGUGAGAAAAUAAAUUUGACUAAUUUUAUUUUAAGGAGUACAUUUAAUUACAAAUUAUUGACUCCCUUGACUUUGACAUUGAAAAUAUAUUUUCCUUAUAUAUAUGGAAAAUUAAAGUCUGAGGAAGAAUAUAUUAGUUUUAAAAACAUAUAUAAGGAGGAUAGGCACAAUUGUUUAAAUUUACAUAAACAUCAAGAAGUUUUUUUCAAGAAACAAAAUAUCAUUAGAAUUAUGUGGCCGCCGUCAAUACUCAUCUUCCUUAUUCUAUCGAUGGUUUCGAUCAACCACCUUCCUCUCGUUUGUGCCAGAGGUCAGUGGUGUGUGGUAUCUCCAUCGGCGACAGAUGCACAAAUGCAAGCUAAUAUUGAUUGGCUGUGUGGUCAUGGACAUGUUGACUGUAUACCAAUCAAACCGGGUGGUCCCUGCUUUGAGCCAGAUAAUCUUAGAAGCCAUGUAUCGUUUGUAAUGAAUCAGUAUUACCAAUAUAACGGAAAAACAGAAAAAGCAUGUUAUUUCAGUAAUACCGGUAUAUUCGUUUUUAAAGAUCCAAGCUAUGGUCAUUGUGAGUACGAUUAUUAAGAAAAAAUAUACUAAUAAUCUUGAUUGAUAAUUCGUGGAAUGCAUUGUAGAAUGAAUGAUUUCACGAAAUGUUUUUUAAUAUAAAUUAUAUACAUCAUGCGAAAUAUUAUGUAAGGUUAAUAAAAAUUAAAGUAUUUUGUCA